rnacentral:rRNA from 1 species
GGGUUGUGAGGUUAAGCGACUAAGCGUACACGGUGGAUGCCCUGGCAGUCAGAGGCGAUGAAGGACGUGCUAAUCUGCGAUAAGCGUCGGUAAGGUGAUAUGAACCGUUAUAACCGGCGAUUUCCGAAUGGGGAAACCCAGUGUGAUUCGUCACACUAUCAUUAACUGAAUCCAUAGGUUAAUGAGGCGAACCGGGGGAACUGAAACAUCUAAGUACCCCGAGGAAAAGAAAUCAACCGAGAUUCCCCCAGUAGCGGCGAGCGAACGGGGAGCAGCCCAGAGCCUGAAUCAGUGUGUGUGUUAGUGGAAGCGUCUGGAAAGGCGCGCGAUACAGGGUGACAGCCCCGUACACAAAAAUGCACAUGCUGUGAGCUCGAUGAGUAGGGCGGGACACGUGGUAUCCUGUCUGAAUAUGGGGGGACCAUCCUCCAAGGCUAAAUACUCCUGACUGACCGAUAGUGAACCAGUACCGUGAGGGAAAGGCGAAAAGAACCCCGGCGAGGGGAGUGAAAAAGAACCUGAAACCGUGUACGUACAAGCAGUGGGAGCACAGAGCAAUCUGUGUGACUGCGUACCUUUUGUAUAAUGGGUCAGCGACUUAUAUUCUGUAGCAAGGUUAACCGAAUAGGGGAGCCGAAGGGAAACCGAGUCUUAACUGGGCGUUAAGUUGCAGGGUAUAGACCCGAAACCCGGUGAUCUAGCCAUGGGCAGGUUGAAGGUUGGGUAACACUAACUGGAGGACCGAACCGACUAAUGUUGAAAAAUUAGCGGAUGACUUGUGGCUGGGGGUGAAAGGCCAAUCAAACCGGGAGAUAGCUGGUUCUCCCCGAAAGCUAUUUAGGUAGCGCCUCGUGAAUUCAUCUCCGGGGGUAGAGCACUGUUUCGGCAAGGGGGUCAUCCCGACUUACCAACCCGAUGCAAACUGCGAAUACCGGAGAAUGUUAUCACGGGAGACACACGGCGGGUGCUAACGUCCGUCGUGAAGAGGGAAACAACCCAGACCGCCAGCUAAGGUCCCAAAGUCAUGGUUAAGUGGGAAACGAUGUGGGAAGGCCCAGACAGCCAGGAUGUUGGCUUAGAAGCAGCCAUCAUUUAAAGAAAGCGUAAUAGCUCACUGGUCGAGUCGGCCUGCGCGGAAGAUGUAACGGGGCUAAACCAUGCACCGAAGCUGCGGCAGCGACACUUAUGUGUUGUUGGGUAGGGGAGCGUUCUGUAAGCCUGCGAAGGUGUGCUGUGAGGCAUGCUGGAGGUAUCAGAAGUGCGAAUGCUGACAUAAGUAACGAUAAAGCGGGUGAAAAGCCCGCUCGCCGGAAGACCAAGGGUUCCUGUCCAACGUUAAUCGGGGCAGGGUGAGUCGACCCCUAAGGCGAGGCCGAAAGGCGUAGUCGAUGGGAAACAGGUUAAUAUUCCUGUACUUGGUGUUACUGCGAAGGGGGGACGGAGAAGGCUAUGUUGGCCGGGCGACGGUUGUCCCGGUUUAAGCGUGUAGGCUGGUUUUCCAGGCAAAUCCGGAAAAUCAAGGCUGAGGCGUGAUGACGAGGCACUACGGUGCUGAAGCAACAAAUGCCCUGCUUCCAGGAAAAGCCUCUAAGCAUCAGGUAACAUCAAAUCGUACCCCAAACCGACACAGGUGGUCAGGUAGAGAAUACCAAGGCGCUUGAGAGAACUCGGGUGAAGGAACUAGGCAAAAUGGUGCCGUAACUUCGGGAGAAGGCACGCUGAUAUGUAGGUGAAGUCCCUCGCGGAUGGAGCUGAAAUCAGUCGAAGAUACCAGCUGGCUGCAACUGUUUAUUAAAAACACAGCACUGUGCAAACACGAAAGUGGACGUAUACGGUGUGACGCCUGCCCGGUGCCGGAAGGUUAAUUGAUGGGGUUAGCGCAAGCGAAGCUCUUGAUCGAAGCCCCGGUAAACGGCGGCCGUAACUAUAACGGUCCUAAGGUAGCGAAAUUCCUUGUCGGGUAAGUUCCGACCUGCACGAAUGGCGUAAUGAUGGCCAGGCUGUCUCCACCCGAGACUCAGUGAAAUUGAACUCGCUGUGAAGAUGCAGUGUACCCGCGGCAAGACGGAAAGACCCCGUGAACCUUUACUAUAGCUUGACACUGAACAUUGAGCCUUGAUGUGUAGGAUAGGUGGGAGGCUUUGAAGUGUGGACGCCAGUCUGCAUGGAGCCGACCUUGAAAUACCACCCUUUAAUGUUUGAUGUUCUAACGUGGACCCGUGAUCCGGGUUGCGGACAGUGUCUGGUGGGUAGUUUGACUGGGGCGGUCUCCUCCUAAAGAGUAACGGAGGAGCACGAAGGUUGGCUAAUCCUGGUCGGACAUCAGGAGGUUAGUGCAAUGGCAUAAGCCAGCUUGACUGCGAGCGUGACGGCGCGAGCAGGUGCGAAAGCAGGUCAUAGUGAUCCGGUGGUUCUGAAUGGAAGGGCCAUCGCUCAACGGAUAAAAGGUACUCCGGGGAUAACAGGCUGAUACCGCCCAAGAGUUCAUAUCGACGGCGGUGUUUGGCACCUCGAUGUCGGCUCAUCACAUCCUGGGGCUGAAGUAGGUCCCAAGGGUAUGGCUGUUCGCCAUUUAAAGUGGUACGCGAGCUGGGUUUAGAACGUCGUGAGACAGUUCGGUCCCUAUCUGCCGUGGGCGCUGGAGAACUGAGGGGGGCUGCUCCUAGUACGAGAGGACCGGAGUGGACGCAUCACUGGUGUUCGGGUUGUCAUGCCAAUGGCACUGCCCGGUAGCUAAAUGCGGAAGAGAUAAGUGCUGAAAGCAUCUAAGCACGAAACUUGCCCCGAGAUGAGUUCUCCCUGAC